AACGCUGGACGGCAGGCUAAUACAUGCAAGUCGACGGUAACAUGUCGGAGCAAUCUGAUGAUGACGAGUGGCGCACGGGGUGCGUAACGCGUAUGCAACCUACCCAUAACCGGAACAUAACGUUGAGAAAUCGGCGUCUAAUAUUCCAUGUGUAUAUUUGUGGCAUCAUAGAAUAUAUAAAGAUUAAUGGUUAUGGAUGGGCAUGCGUAUCAUUAGCUAGUUGGUGGGGUAACGGCCUACCAAGGCUGCGAUGAUUAGGGGUUCUGAGAGGAUAACCCCCCACACUGGAACUGAGACACGGUCCAGACUCCUACGGGAGGCAGCAGUAGGGAAUAUUGGGCAAUGGAGGCAACUCUGACCCAGCCAUGCCGCGUGAAGGAAGACGGUCCUAUGGAUUGUAAACUUCUUUUAUCAUAGAGUAACCGCAGGGACGUGUCCCUGCCUGCAAGUAUAUGAUGAAUAAGCAUCGGCUAACUCCGUG
rnacentral:rRNA from 1 species